UCUAAAAGCUGUCUCUUGCUGGUUUUGUCUGAUCUGACCUCAGAAGUAAAGCAGAGUCAGGUCUGGUUAGUACUUGGAUGGGAGACCACUUAGGAAUACUAAUGCUAUAGGC
rnacentral:rRNA from 1 species